UGAUUGGCCAAGCCGUGACUUAUAUUCAGUGUCUCCAACCUCUGCAUGCAGGCACGGAACUUUUCAUAGAGAUGCAUUGAUUCAAUCCAUCUCUUUGAGGAGAUGCUGAUUGGCCAGGGCUGUGUUUGACUUAUGCUGGCUCUGCCCCUGAUCUGCCUCCUUGACAGUCUCAGCCAAUCCUAUGCUUUCCUAUGUGAAAACAUUGUGAUUGGCUUUGAUGAUCACUUCUGAUGAUGUCAGCCAUGCAGGAAGAUCAGGGAAAGAGCCAGCAGCAGCAGUAAAGGUAAGAUUUUGCUAUAUUUUGUUGGGUCCAAAUAGUGAUUUUAACACUACAGGGUCAGGAAUACAUGUUUGUGUUUCUGACCCUAUAGUGUUCCUUUAAUUAUUAUGAUGUUACCC